CAGAGGUAACGUCAUCGGUUGUUGCUGAGUGGAUGAAAGUGAUAGUAGGUCAGUUUCAGCCUUUCGGAAAUUCGGGUGAAGUUCUGAAUCCAAAUGUCCAGCUAGAUUGCAGCAAAUCCCGAAGUCCACCUCCUCUGGUAUUGUUCGAGACUUACCGGGAUGCCCGUGAUUAGAGUCACACUGCUUUAGAUUGUCUGGUUGCAGUCGCUGCAUUUCGGCGUUCAUCUUGGUCCGCUUGGCUGAAAGGGGCUCAAGCUGAGGCUGACUACGAUCACAAAGGCCAUCUGCUUUUCGCAACUUCCGGUCAUCGCAAGAAAACUUGGAAUAAAUUCAAGAGAAAGAUUUGCAGGAACGAUUUAUAUCCAAGAAUCCGCGGAAGUGGAAUAUAAAUCAGGCCACCAUCUUUUCGCAACUUCCGGUCAUCUGAAGAGAAGAACUUGGAAUAAUUCAAGAGAAAGAUUUGCAGGGACGAUUUAUGUCCAAGAAUCCGAGGAAGUGGAAUAUAAAUCAGGCCACCAGCUUUUCGCAACUUCCGGUCAUCUGAAGAAAAGAACUUGGAAUAAUUCAAGAGAAAGAUUUGCAGGGACGAUUUAUGUCCAAGAAUCCGAGGAAGUGGAAUAUAAAUCAGGCCAUCUGCUUUUCGCAACUUCCGGUCAUCGCAAGAAAACUUGGAAUAAAUUCAAGAGAAAGAUUUGCAGGAACGAUUUAUAUCCAAGAAUCCGAGGAAGUGGAAUAUAAAUCAGG